rnacentral:rRNA from 1 species
UACAGAGGUCUCAAGCGUUUGUUCGGAUUCAUUGGGCGUAAAGGGUGCGUAGGUGGCGCUGUAAGUCGGGGUGUGAAAUUUCGGAGCUUAACUCCGAAACUGCAUUCGAUACUGCGGUGCUUGAGGACUGGAGAGGAGACUGGAAUUCAUGGUGUAGCAGUGAAAAUGCGUAGAGAUCAUGAGGAAGACCAGUGGCGAAGGCGGGGUCUCUGGACAGUUCCUGACACUGAGGCACGAAGGCCCAGGGGGAGCAAAACGGGGAUUAGAAA